rnacentral:tRNA from 1 species
GCCGACGUAGCUCAGCUGGCCAGAGCAGCUGUUUUGUAAACAGCAUGUCAGCGGUUCGAAUCCGCUCGUCGGCUCCA